AGCGUACACGGUGGAUGCCCUGGCAGUCAGAGGCGAUGAAGGACGUGCUAAUCUGCGAUAAGCGUCGGUAAGGUGAUAUGAACCGUUAUAACCGGCGAUUUCCGAAUGGGGAAACCCAGUGUGUUUCGACACACUAUCAUUAACUGAAUCCAUAGGUUAAUGAGGCGAACCGGGGGAACUGAAACAUCUAAGUACCCCGAGGAAAAGAAAUCAACCGAGAUUCCCCCAGUAGCGGCGAGCGAACGGGGAGCAGCCCAGAGCCUGAAUCAGUGUGUGUGUUAGUGGAAGCGUCUGGAAAGGCGCGCGAUACAGGGUGACAGCCCCGUACACAAAAAUGCACAUGCUGUGAGCUCGAUGAGUAGGGCGGGACACGUGGUAUCCUGUCUGAAUAUGGGGGGACCAUCCUCCAAGGCUAAAUACUCCUGACUGACCGAUAGUGAACCAGUACCGUGAGGGAAAGGCGAAAAGAACCCCGGCGAGGGGAGUGAAAAAGAACCUGAAACCGUGUACGUACAAGCAGUGGGAGCACGCUUCGGCGUGUGACUGCGUACCUUUUGUAUAAUGGGUCAGCGACUUAUAUUCUGUAGCAAGGUUAACCGAAUAGGGGAGCCGAAGGGAAACCGAGUCUUAACUGGGCGUUAAGUUGCAGGGUAUAGACCCGAAACCCGGUGAUCUAGCCAUGGGCAGGUUGAAGGUUGGGUAACACUAACUGGAGGACCGAACCGACUAAUGUUGAAAAAUUAGCGGAUGACUUGUGGCUGGGGGUGAAAGGCCAAUCAAACCGGGAGAUAGCUGGUUCUCCCCGAAAGCUAUUUAGGUAGCGCCUCGUGAAUUCAUCUCCGGGGGUAGAGCACUGUUUCGGCAAGGGGGUCAUCCCGACUUACCAACCCGAUGCAAACUGCGAAUACCGGAGAAUGUUAUCACGGGAGACACACGGCGGGUGCUAACGUCCGUCGUGAAGAGGGAAACAACCCAGACCGCCAGCUAAGGUCCCAAAGUCAUGGUUAAGUGGGAAACGAUGUGGGAAGGCCCAGACAGCCAGGAUGUUGGCUUAGAAGCAGCCAUCAUUUAAAGAAAGCGUAAUAGCUCACUGGUCGAGUCGGCCUGCGCGGAAGAUGUAACGGGGCUAAACCAUGCACCGAAGCUGCGGCAGCGACGCUUAUGCGUUGUUGGGUAGGGGAGCGUUCUGUAAGCCUGUGAAGGUGUGCUGUGAGGCAUGCUGGAGGUAUCAGAAGUGCGAAUGCUGACAUAAGUAACGAUAAAGCGGGUGAAAAGCCCGCUCGCCGGAAGACCAAGGGUUCCUGUCCAACGUUAAUCGGGGCAGGGUGAGUCGACCCCUAAGGCGAGGCCGAAAGGCGUAGUCGAUGGGAAACAGGUUAAUAUUCCUGUACUUGGUGUUACUGCGAAGGGGGGACGGAGAAGGCUAUGUUGGCCGGGCGACGGUUGUCCCGGUUUAAGCGUGUAGGCUGGUUUUCCAGGCAAAUCCGGAAAAUCAAGGCUGAGGCGUGAUGACGAGGCACUACGGUGCUGAAGCAACAAAUGCCCUGCUUCCAGGAAAAGCCUCUAAGCAUCAGGUAACAUCAAAUCGUACCCCAAACCGACACAGGUGGUCAGGUAGAGAAUACCAAGGCGCUUGAGAGAACUCGGGUGAAGGAACUAGGCAAAAUGGUGCCGUAACUUCGGGAGAAGGCACGCUGAUAUGUAGGUGAGGUCCCUCGCGGAUGGAGCUGAAAUCAGUCGAAGAUACCAGCUGGCUGCAACUGUUUAUUAAAAACACAGCACUGUGCAAACACGAAAGUGGACGUAUACGGUGUGACGCCUGCCCGGUGCCGGAAGGUUAAUUGAUGGGGUUAGCGGUAACGCGAAGCUCUUGAUCGAAGCCCCGGUAAACGGCGGCCGUAACUAUAACGGUCCUAAGGUAGCGAAAUUCCUUGUCGGGUAAGUUCCGACCUGCACGAAUGGCGUAAUGAUGGCCAGGCUGUCUCCACCCGAGACUCAGUGAAAUUGAACUCGCUGUGAAGAUGCAGUGUACCCGCGGCAAGACGGAAAGACCCCGUGAACCUUUACUAUAGCUUGACACUGAACAUUGAGCCUUGAUGUGUAGGAUAGGUGGGAGGCUUUGAAGUGUGGACGCCAGUCUGCAUGGAGCCGACCUUGAAAUACCACCCUUUAAUGUUUGAUGUUCUAACGUUGACCCGUAAUCCGGGUUGCGGACAGUGUCUGGUGGGUAGUUUGACUGGGGCGGUCUCCUCCUAAAGAGUAACGGAGGAGCACGAAGGUUGGCUAAUCCUGGUCGGACAUCAGGAGGUUAGUGCAAUGGCAUAAGCCAGCUUGACUGCGAGCGUGACGGCGCGAGCAGGUGCGAAAGCAGGUCAUAGUGAUCCGGUGGUUCUGAAUGGAAGGGCCAUCGCUCAACGGAUAAAAGGUACUCCGGGGAUAACAGGCUGAUACCGCCCAAGAGUUCAUAUCGACGGCGGUGUUUGGCACCUCGAUGUCGGCUCAUCACAUCCUGGGGCUGAAGUAGGUCCCAAGGGUAUGGCUGUUCGCCAUUUAAAGUGGUACGCGAGCUGGGUUUAGAACGUCGUGAGACAGUUCGGUCCCUAUCUGCCGUGGGCGCUGGAGAACUGAGGGGGGCUGCUCCUAGUACGAGAGGACCGGAGUGGACGCAUCACUGGUGUUCGGGUUGUCAUGCCAAUGGCACUGCCCGGUAGCUAAAUGCGGAAGAGAUAAGUGCUGAAAGCAUCUAAGCACGAAACUUGCCCCGAGAUGAGUUCUCCCUGACUCCUUGA
rnacentral:rRNA from 1 species